GUUUACGACCAUAUCACGUUGAAUAUACCGGUUCUCGUCCGAUCACCGAAGUCAAGCAGCGUCGAGCCUAGUNAGUACUUGGAUGGGUGACCGCCUGGGAAUACUAGGUGCCGUAGACU
rnacentral:rRNA from 1 species